GACGAACGCUGGCGGCGUGCCUAAUACAUGCAAGUUGAGCGCUGAAGGUUGGUACUUGUACCAACUGGAUGAGCAGCGAACGGGUGAGUAACGCGUGGGGAAUCUGCCUUUGAGCGGGGGACAACAUUUGGAAACGAAUGCUAAUACCGCAUAAAAACUUUAAACACAAGUUUUUAGUUUGAAAGAUGCAAUUGCAUCACUCAAAGAUGAUCCCGCGUUGUAUUAGCUAGUUGGUGAGGUAAAGGCUCACCAAGGCGAUGAUACAUAGCCGACCUGAGAGGGUGAUCGGCCACAUUGGGACUGAGACACGGCCCAAACUCCUACGGGAGGCAGCAGUAGGGAAUCUUCGGCAAUGGACGAAAGUCUGACCGAGCAACGCCGCGUGAGUGAAGAAGGUUGUCGGAUCGUAAAACUCUGUUGGUAGAGAAGAACGUUGGUGAGAGUGGAAAGCUCAUCAAGUGACGGUAACUACCCAGAAAGGGACGGCUAACUACGUG
rnacentral:rRNA from 1 species